GCGGUGGGGAGGUUUCGGCCCCGCCUUCCGCGUGCGUUCGAAGUCAGUUUAAAGGAGCCGCGAGAGACAAGGAGUGUGCAGGAGGGAGCUGGGAGGGCCCUGAAGACUCCCUGUAUGGCACCAAGUGCUGCCGCGCACGCUCCUGGCUCAGUGCCACAAGAUGAUGCCAUACUACUGGGCCACGCGAUGCCAAGAUGUGUUGAAGAGCAGGGUGCUUGAAAAUGUUGAGCUGAAGUUGGAAUUUGGGGGUCACAUUUAAUAGGGAAUGACACAGGCUGGUGACAUUGCUUCAGCCACUGCUUUUGCUAUUUACCCCCGAACACACCCUCAGAUCAUCAGAGCUCUGCCGUGGAAGUGUGGUGACUCAUCUGAUGCUUAGGUAUUUUGGGUUCCUUACUCUUCAGCCACUUUACCGAGAAGAGCCACGCAGAGUCAAAACAGAGAGGAGAGGAAAUCGGGGUGUGCAGAUGGGAGGGGUGGGGCACAAAUCCAAGGGCUGCUAUGGCGAAGUUCAGCAGAGGGGCUGUUGUCGAAGCUAGGACUCCGAGAACAAGGGCCAUUCCAAAAGCAACAACAGGAAGGAAAUGGGGGUUUGAGUAAACUUCAUUGAGAGGUCUGGACACACUGUGCAGAGUUCUCCCACCGCAGAGCUGUUUGUGCAGAAAUCCAGAAGAAUCAUCAUUGCUCUUUGGGAAUGUUUUUGAGUAACCACGCCCAAGCUGUGCUGACUCUGCCAAAGCAAGGUGAAGGAUGCAGUUGCAGGCUUGCAAACUACAGUCCGCUUAUUACCCUAAACUCCAAGCCCCUCCCCCUAAAUAUACAUGUGCCUUUGGCUCAGUUACCUGGAUUCUC